AUAUACUUUCUCAUCGAUGGUCCCCGCAAGGGGAUAACAGGGAAUUCGGUGCGCCAGGUGGCGCGUCAGUCCGAAGCUGCCCCCGCAACUGUAAGCGGUGAAGGCCGGUCAUCAUGCCACUGGACAAUUGUCCGGGAAGGCGACCAGCCCAAGCCCGCGAGCCAGGAGACCUACCAUCGGUGAAAUGCAACC
rnacentral:ncRNA from 2 species